GGGGGCGUCACGGCUUCGACGGAGAUGCUUGCGGCCAGGAGGCAUGCCGGGGUGCACACACCCGUAAUCGCGUGCAAAACGAUAAUUGCCAACCAAACACUGGCAUACGCAGCUUAAUUAAUUAAGUUGCCGUCCUCCGCGGCUUCGCCCGUGGGCUGCGGUCAGGACGUCAUACAGCGGGCUGGUCUUCCCUGCUACGUCUGGGCAGGAGGACGAGACUUACAGGCUAGUGGCUUGCGUUUCUUGUCCGUUCUGAGCGUCGGCCGCGAACGUCCCGGGCUGGGCCGCAAGGCCUAAUGACUGGGGCAUGAACUGGAAUAAGCAUGUAGUCUCCUGACCAGUAACAUUUUCGGACGCGGGUUCGACUCCCGUCGCCUCCACCA
rnacentral:tmRNA from 1 species